UAGCGUAGGGACCAAGCGUUGUUCGGAUUUACUGGGCGUAAAGGGCGCGUAGGCGGCAAUUCAAGUCAGCUAGUCGGAAAUCUCCGAGCUUAACUCGGAACGGUCAGCUGAUACUGUUUGCUAGAGUACAGAAGGGGCAAUCGGAAUUCUUGGUGUAGCGGUGAAAGUGACGUGAGAUAUCAAGAGGAACACCCUGAGGUGAAGACGGGUUGCUGGGCUGAAUGACGUGACGCUGAGGCGCGAAAGCUAGGGUAGCAAACGGG
rnacentral:rRNA from 1 species